CUGAUGGGGAAGCCCUCCGGGGCGAAGUAGCUGAUUUCACACUGUCAAGAAAAGCUUCUAUCGAGUUUAAAGGCGCCCGUACCGUAAACCGACACAGGUGGGUGAGGAGAGUAUCCUAAGGCCAGCGAGAGAACUAUUGUUAAGGAACUCGGCAAAAUGACCCCGUAACUUAGGGAGAAGGGGUGCCUGUCUAUGACAGGCCGCAGAGAAUAGGCCCAAGCGACUGUUUACCAAAAACACAGGUUUCUGCUAAGUCGCAAGACGAUGUAUAGGAGCUGACGCCUGCCCGGUGCUGGAAGGUUAAGGGGAUCUGUUAGAGCAAUCGAAGCUGUGAACUUAAGCCCCAGUAAACGGCGGCCGUAACUAUAACGGUCCUAAGGUAGCGAAAUUCCUUGUCGGGUAAGUUCCGACCCGCACGAAAGGCGUAACGAUUUGGGCACUGUCUCAACAAUAGACUCGGUGAAAUUGUAAUCCCGGUGAAGAUGCCGGGUACCUGCGACAGGACGGAAAGACCCCAUGGAGCUUUACUGUAGCUUGACGUUGGGUCUUGGUACUACAUGUACAGGAUAGGUGGGAGACUAUGAAGCAUGGACGCCAGUCUGUGUGGAGUCAUCCUUGGGAUACCACCCUUGUAGUACUGGGAUCCUAACCAUAGGCCUUGAAUCAGGUCUUGGAACACCGUCAGGUGGGCAGUUUGACUGGGGCGGUCGCCUCCUAAAAAGUAACGGAGGCGCUCAAAGGUUUCCUCAGCACGGUCGGAAAUCGUGCGAAGAGUGUAAAGGCAAAAGGAAGCUUGAUUGCAAGACAUACAGGUCGAGCAAGGACGAAAGUCGGACUUAGUGAUCCGGUGGUACCGCAUGGAAGGGCCAUCGCUCAACGGAUAAAAGCUACCCUGGGGAUAACAGGCUUAUCUCCCCCAAGAGUCCACAUCGACGGGGAGGUUUGGCACCUUGAUGUCGGCUCAUCACAUCCUGGGGCUGUAGUAGGUCCCAAGGGUUGGGCUGUUCGCCCAUUAAAGUGGUACGCGAGCUGGGUUCAGAACGUCGUGAGACAGUUCGGUCCCUAUCCGUCGCAGGCGUAGGAAAUUUGAGAAGACCUGUCCUUAGUACGAGAGGACCGGGAUGGACGUACCUCUGGUGUACCAGUUGUUCUGCCAAGGGCAUGGCUGGGUAGCUAUGUACGGAAUGGAUAAGCGCUGAAAGCAUCUAAGCGCGAAGCCAACUUCAAGAUAAGAUUUCCCACCGUAAGGGUAAGACCCCAGGAAGACUACCUGGUUGAUAGGUCGAAGGUGUAAGUGCAGUAAUGUAUUUAGCUUAUCGAUACUAAUAGGUCGAGGACUUGACC
rnacentral:rRNA from 1 species